GAUGAAGAACGUAGCGAAAUGCGAUAAGUAAUGUGAAUUGCAGAAUUCAGUGAAUCAUCGAAUCUUUGAACGCACAUUGCGCCCAUUAGCAUUCUAGUGGGCAUGCCUGUUCGAGCGUCAUUUCAACCCUUAAGCCCUGUUGCUUAGCGUUGGGAGCCUACAGUACUGUAGCUCCCCAAAGUUAGUGGCGGAGUCGGUUUCACACUCUAGACGUAGUAAUUUUUUCUCGUCUGUAGUUGAGCCGGUUCCCUGCCGUAAAACACCCAAUUUAUCAAGGUUGACCUCGGAUCAGGUAGGAAUACCCGCUGAACUUAAGCAUAUCAAUAAGCGGAGGA
rnacentral:misc_RNA from 1 species